rnacentral:misc_RNA from 1 species
CUAUUAUUUAUUUUUAGAAUAAUAAUUAAUAUAUUUUCAGUUUGCUAACUGCAAUUGGUUGACUGAAGAAUCUUCAAUCAAUGAUACAUUGUACUGCAUUCGUGCACCUUAGAACAAAUACGUACGUCAUCGUUUUAUCAUGAGAGGUCAGCAGUGAAUCAAUCACACAAUCCGCUCGAAGAAUCAUUCAACUGAGUACUAGUCAAUAUUCAGGGCUCAUCAAACUCAGGAUCUUCAGGAUAAAAAUAUUCGUUAUCGAUAUCUUGUGUCGGAACGCUAGGGAAGGAGAUCAAGUUCAUAGUUCAUUGACUAAAUUCAGUACUGAAAAAGCAACAGAAAAACAGAAAUAAAUAAGAAAUAAAUAAGAAACGCAAAUCAUACUGCGAAAUUCGUCAUUCUUACACUAACGGCCGACAUAAAUAAAAAUCCAAUUGUGUUACAAUUAUGAAAGAUAAUCACCUGUAAUAUGUACUCGAUUUCUCGGCCCUCCAUCGCUUAAUGAACCAAACUAGCACACAGACAAAUCCCAAGAGUACCAGAACUCCAAUAACUGUAAGCAAUGUAAUUCC